AGGGACAAACAAAGGAAAGAGCUUUUCUUGGAAAUAUCGCCCAACAGCUGAAGAAUAAUGCAGGCGUCAUUCUGUCAGAAGCGACAGUCAAAAAUGGCUUUUCUGCAUCAAUGGAAGUGUCAGGUGCUAACUCUAAGUCACCCAAGGCAGUGACCAGUGAUGGAGAUGCAGAUACAGGCAGUGUGAUCCUGGACAUCUCUGAGGGUCUGGUUUCUUCCCUUGUAGAACCCAGCCAGAACGGAACCAACAAGACACUCCAGACUGCAGUAGUAGAUUUGAGUAUACAGACCUUCAGUCUUGGAUGCAGUAAUGGAGAGAGUAAUGUCCUUUCGGUCAAAGGAAUCAGCAUGGAGGUCAACCUCGAGGCUCUGGCUCAGGACAACAAUGG